AAAAAGGAAGAAAGAAAAGCGAAUCCCAAAGUUUUCCGAUCACUUUCCUUCUCUUUCUCUCCCUCUGUUUGUUUUAUGGGAAAAUCACUCCCAACCACAACCAGGCUUCAAGAAUUCGCUAGGGUUGUUACAUCUGAUAAGUUCCAAAGUCCCAAGCACGCAAAACCCAUCUCGAGAAACCGGGUUUCGCCUCCAGAAACAACGAAAUUGAGAGGGGCACGACUCGGCUCGGAACGGGUGAGGUUGAAGAUGGAGAGCUCAGAGGGGCAGCGUCGGAUGCCGCUGGCCCAGGUGGUCUCCGACUGCGCAAAGCGUUGGUUUCAGGACACUCUUAAAGAAGCCAAAGCUGGUGACACAACCAUGCAGGUUUUGGUGGGUCAAAUGUACUUCAGUGGCUAUGGAGUUUCCAGAGACGCUCAGAAGGGCCGGGCUUGGAUUAGUAGAGCUUCCAAGAGUCGAUCGUCAGCUUGGAAAGUUGGUGAUAAGCAUCCAGGUUACAAUGCAAGUGACUCUGAUUCAGACGACUUGAAGAAUGAUGAAAAAUGAAGGCAAAUUCAAAACUAGGAGCAUACAUGAAUAGUGAUUGGCUAGGACAUACUCAGCAGUAAAUAUUUUCAUUGUCUCAUGUUCGGAUCAAUUAUCAACGAGGAAGGAGUAAUUGGAGAGUGGUGUACAGGGAUGGAUGAAGUUGAGAAUGCUUUUGGUCUUGUCUUGGCCUGUGCCAAUUCCAUGCUUGCCAGGUUUCAGUAACAAUCAGCAGCUUCUAUUGUCUCAUUUUUCCCUCUACUUAGUUCAUUUCUUUUCUCGAAUUUUUGUUCAUUAGUGGGUACAUUAACUGUCACUAUUUUUAUUUUUUUUUAAAUCUUUUAUAUACAUGGUAAAAAGAACUGUUUGAUCUAUUUUCAUUGAAGUUUUUGGGGCUGUGAUAGAA